GCCCCAGUAGCUCAAUGGAUAGAGCAGCACCCUUCUAAGGUGAAGGUUGCAGGUUCGACUCCUGCCUGGGGUACCA
rnacentral:tRNA from 1 species